rnacentral:lncRNA from 1 species
CUAUUCAACUGAUAGCAGCCGCCUCUUCUGGGGAGAGCAGAUCUUUCAGAAAGCACUGGCUGCGCUGCUAAUCAAACGCAACAUUGUUCUCAGCAAGGAGGAAGAAUGGAAAGGUUUGUUUCAGAGUCACAACUUUAUUUUUUUUAAAAGGCACCCAAGUUGUUUCAACAAGCUGCUACAAAACUUGGGCUUCCUGAGUGGAGGCUGUUUUGCACAGUGCAUGUACUGUACAAAAAUCCAGGCAGGGAGGGGUCAGAGAGUUCGUCAUUAAAGAAAAAAAAAAAAAAAAGCCCCAGGCACUUGAUGCCUGGAAAUGAUGUCAGACGCAGCCACUCCUCUGUUAGAACUACAGCCAAACAAUGCGCAGGCAAUCCACAGCAGCUGCCCCUGCAAAUGUCAGCGCCAGCCCAGUCAAAAGAGCUUGAAACCUACCAAGCCGGAGGACUGUGCUGUGCCUCUCUCGCCCACAUUUUCCCCAACUUUUUUUUUUUUUUUCUGGCCAGACUGAGAGAAAGGAAUGAAAGGAUGGAAGAAUUACAAGAUCAGGCACUGCUGUCUGUCUGUUCCACGGAUGUAACCACAGCACACGCGUGGCUCACGGUACUAGUGUGAUAAAUGCUUGUUACAUGAAGGCGUGAACAGGGAUGAGAAGAGACUUCCUGGAGAAACAAAAGGACUAACAAUCAGGAAGGGGAGGUGAUCGGGGCAGGAGUAAAGUGGACACCUCAGCAAAGCCAUUCGCUGUGAUCUCUGAUUGUGCAGUGUCAUGUCCUGUCACCAGAGCCCCCUCGUGUUUGAUGUUGGCCAAUGCCGCCAGCAUGAUCUAGCAGGCCAAAUCCUAAUCUACCAUUCUCUGACACCAGCUGGUCCCCUGGGUCGUCCACCCGAUGUCCCCCAUUCUCCCCACUUGGCCUCCCCCACAGGCUCUCGGCAAAGGACCGUGGGAGGCACCUGUGACACUGCCCUUUUCCUGUGCAGCUGUUUUUCUUCUUCAUUCUUUUCACUCCUCGUUACUCUUUUUUUUUUCACUCUCAGCCCACACAAAACUAGGAACUUUGUUAUUCUACUUAUUUUUCUGUACUCUGUCUGUUUGCACACAGAUGGAUAUCUGAGAGCCAGCGAACUUUCUUUACCUCCUAGUAUCAUUUCAUGAAAAUUAGUAGCACCUGCACAAUGGGGCCUUGGAGACAGGAAUAAAAGGAAAAAUCUGGAAUGGAAUCACAUGACGCAACAGGCUAUGAAGACUCCCUGCCCGGCUGCUAUAUGUCUGGUAAACAGAAUAAAUAGUACUUGAGCAUCCCUGACUCUGAGACUGUGGGGUAGCUGGUUGUUUUAAGAUGGGACCAGGGUAUUGUGCACUUAUUGCCAAUUCUUGCUUCAGUAAGUGGGGUGGCUGUGCAGAGUGAGUGGCCUGUGUAUGAACCAGGGUCCGUCCCAUCUAAUGAGAGUCCGGUCAGGCUGAGUCCUCACCAAGACUUCAGCGUGGAUUCAUCAGUAACCUUGGUUCACUGGCAGGCUUGCUGGACUUUGGAGAAAAGGCUGACCCUCCCCCAAAGCAGCCCAUUGCUGCCACUGCCCUAGGAACAGAGGGCCUGGAGCCAGGGCUUGACCUGGUACAGGAGCUUUUGCACAAGGCCGGCUCAAACCUCCAAACCUGGGGAAACAGGAUGCAUGGUGAAGUGAAGAAGAAAGAAAAUGCAUCCACCGUUCCUUCCUGUUGGUGUCAGCACGAUGAGGAAUAAUUACCUGGAUCUGGAAAGCAGGCGUGUGGGAGGCUGCAGGCCCCCCUGAUCUGUGUAGUUAGGCACUUAAUUUUUCAUCCUCCUCCUUCUCUCUGCCCUCCCGAAACCGCCGUUUUCAAAGGAAAAACAGAAAAACGUAUCUGGGUAACCCGUGUAAUACUGUUUACAUCAGCCCACUUGGCCCAGAAAGGAUACCAGCUCCUUACUGAUGCUCAGAUAACAGGGUUAGUGCUUAAAAAAAUUAUGCCUUGGGCCGGGUGCGGUGGCUCACGCCUAUAAUCCCAGCACUUUGGGAGGCUGAGGUGGGUGGAUCACAAGGUCAAGAGAUCAAGACCAUCCUGGCCAACCAACAUAGUGAACCUGUCUCUACUAAAAAUACAAAAAGUAGCUGGGCGUAGUGGCGCAUGCCUGUAGUCCCAGCUGCUCGGGAGGCUGAGGCAGGAGAGUCGUUUAGGCCUGGCAGGCGGAGGUUGCAGUGAGCUGAGAUUGCGCCACACUGCACUC